GGAUGGCAUUGCAUCAAGCAGCAGAACCCUGUCUAGAAUGGCUUCAACACUCAGAAAAGUAUGCAGGCGUGCAAUUAACAAACGUCGCAACCAAGGCCAAAUGGAAGUUGGGGGUCCCCAUUGCUUCGUAUUGCUGGAUGAGAGCAAAUUUACACACAAAAGAAAAUACAACCGUGGCAGAAUUGGACCAGCUUGGCGUCGAACCAAGAAAUGGGUCCUUGGUAUACUGGAGGUUUGGCAGUCAUCAAGAAAGCCAAUUCUGAAAAUUGUCAGAGGGCGCUCCAGGAAUGACCUUUUACCUACCAUACUUCGUCACGUGAGGAGGGGCACAAGCAUUGUGACAGAUGAAUGGCGCGCAUACAGCAGAGCUCUGGUAGAGAAAGGGUAUGAUCAUCACACAGUGUGCCACAAGAGGCACUUUGUAGAUCCCACCACCAGAGCCCAUACUCAGCAUUUAGAGCGAGCAUGGCAGACCUUCAAGAUGGAUGUAUGGCGCCAUCGAGGUAAUCGUACCACAAAGCUCUUAAAAGAACACCUCAGAGUAAUUGAGUGGGAAUACUGGCUUGGAAGAAAGCACAGAUACAGCAA